rnacentral:rRNA from 1 species
AGCAGCCGCGGUAAUUCCAGCUCCAAUAGCGUAUAUUAAAGUUGUUGCAGUUAAAAGCUCGUAGUUGAACUUCGGGGUUUACUCAUUGGUCAGGCUUAAUUGUCUGUACUGGUGAGAUGAAUCUCUACCUUCUGAGGAACUUUCAUGCCAUUUAUUUGGUGUGGUUGGAAAUCAGGACUGUUACUUUGAAAAAUUAGAGUGUUUAAAGCAGGCUAACGUCUGAAUACAUUAGCAUGGAAUAAUGAAAUAGGACGGAUUGAUUCUAUUUCGUUGGUUUCUAGGGUCACCGUAAUGAUUAAUAGGGAUAGUUGGGGGCAUUAGUAUUCAAUUGUCAGAGGUGAAAUUCUUGGAUUUAUUGAAGACUAACUACUGCGAAAGCAUUUGCCAAGGGUGUUUUCAUUAAUCAAGAACGAAAGUUAGGGGAUCGAAGACGAUCAGAUACCGUCGUAGUCUUAACCAUAAACUAUGCCGACUAGGGAUCGGACGAAGUUAAUUAAUAAUGACGCGUUCGGCACCUUAC